UAUUCCAUGGUGUAGUGGUUAGCACAUCUGCCUUGCAUGCAGAAAAUCCUGGGUUUAAUUCCCAGUGGAAUCA
rfam:Canis lupus familiaris chromosome 6, whole genome shotgun sequence.